rnacentral:rRNA from 1 species
ACUGCUCAGUAACACGUGGACAACCUGCCCUUAGGUUGGGUAUAAACCCGGGAAACUGGGUAUAAUACCCGAUAGGUCUCGAUUGCUGGAAUGCAUCGAGAUUUAAAGCUCCGGCGCCUAAGGAUGGGUCUGCGGCCUAUCAGGUAGUAGUGGGUGUAGCGUACCUACUAGCCUACGACGGGUACGGGUUGUGAGAGCAAGAGCCCGGAGAUGGAUUCUGAGACACGAAUCCAGGCCCUACGGGGUGCAGCAGGCGCGAAAACUUUACAAUGCUGGCAACAGCGAUAAGGGAACCUCGAGUGCCAGGUUACAAAUCUGGCUGUCGAGAUGCCUAAAAAGCAUUUCAUAGCAAGGGCCGGGCAAGACCGGUGCCAGCCGCCGCGGUAACACGGCGGCUCGAGUGGUAACCGUUAUUAUUGGGUCUAAAGGGUCUGUAGCCGGCCGGAUAAGUCUCUUGAGAAAUCUGGCAGCUUAACUGUCAGGCUUUCAGGAGAUACUGUCUGGCUCGAGGCCGGGAGAGGUGAGAGGUACUUCAGGGGUAGGGGUGAAAUCUUGUAAUCCUUGAAGGACCACCAGUGGCGAAGGCGUCUCACCAGAACGGACCUGACGGCAAGGGACGAAAGCUAGGGGCACGAACCGGAUUAGAUACCCGGGUAGUCCUAGCCGUAAACGAUACUCGCUAGGUGUCGGCCACGGUGCGACCGUUGUCGGUGCCGUAGGGAAGCCGUGAAGCGAGCCACCUGGGAAGUACGGCCGCAAGGCUGAAACUUAAAGGAAUUGGCGGGGGAGCAC